AAGACUAUAGACCUGCGGAGUACCUGCGGAAGGAUCAUUAGUGAACGCCCUCACGGGCUUAUAACUAUUCCAAACCUCUGUGAACCGUGCCCUUCGGGGCUAUUUUACAAACAUGGUGUAAUGAACGUCAUAUAUCAUAACAAAACAAAACUUUUAGCAAUGGAUCUCU
rnacentral:misc_RNA from 1 species